AUCCGAUUUAUCUCCUAUCUGAUAUCCUCUUCUUAGCCUUUAUUGCCUGCAAAAGUUCCAUCACAAUGAGUGAAACAAUACAACAAAAAAUGAAUACUAGUAUUAGGAGAAACAAAUCAAAGUGGACCUGUUUUUGCCAAUCAGUGAAAACUAGUAUGAGGGAAAGACUAAUUGCUUGUAUUGCAGAACCAGCCAAUAGUCCAAUCCAAAGACCCUUUGCUUUCAGAUUUACAAGGAAACACAGUACAGCAGCAACUGGGAUUCCAACUAGAUAGAAUGCUCCUAAAUUCACAUAUGCACCAAUUAUCUGCCAUCCACUUCCCCUAGCUACUCCUGUUUAUUUCCAACAUACACUUUUUUUCAAAUUUCAACUAAAUAUUGUUUAAUUGCCUACUUAACGAUCAUCGAAAGAUAUAUAUAGCUAGUUAGGAGACUUGCCACAAAUGACUGCUUGUAAGCUAUCUGUGAUGAUUGUUAGACACAGAAAAGGAGUAAUUGCAGCAACAUAAUCCACCACGUGUUCAUCAUUGCUAUAGGCUUUACCCAAAACUCCGCGGCAUAAGAAUAUUACUAUGCUCGCCACUACUGUCUCUGAAACUGCAAGAAACAUUGCAACUCUAACUGCCACGAGAGCCUUCUGAGGAUUACCAGAUCCCAGUUCAUUAGACACCCUCGUGCUGUAAUUAAGCCAGAGUUUUUUAGUCAUGAAGACAAAAAAAGUACGCAUUUUUUAGUCAUAUUGAACUAACCUCACACCAGUUCCCAAUCCAUAAGGAAGAGCAAAAUGCAAUGCAGAAAUCGUUAAGCUGAUUCAGCAAAAAUUAUGAGGAUCAGUACUAUACACAAUGGAUGAAUUGAGCAUAAAAUAGGUUAUCGUGAAUUGGUGCAUACAUACCAUAUUGAUAGUACUGAUGUUUCAAGUUUUGGAUUUGGUAACAGGCCAGAUAGCAAAGUGAGCACCUCAAGUGACCACCAUUUAAGGCUGUGAUGAUUUCCAUUGCACAAAAACAGAUGAAGAUAAAUGAAUCAAAAUUGUGAUAAAAACUACUUAAGAUUCUUCAAUAACAAAAGCAGGACUUCUUACCAAACCAUUAAAGCGGAUGGAGUUGCAUAACGAAAGAAUUUUCCGAUAGCAAGGAAGGCAUCUCUGUUCAGAGGAGUUCGAGUCCUCUCACAAGAAUUCGAUCGACUGAUGUAAACCACAAGUAAUGCUACAAAAGUCCAUAUUGAAAAACUAAAGGCUAUAGCUGCACCUGAUUUUCCUAGUCUCAACUGAAAUAUGAAAAACCAGGAUAGUGAUAUGUGGAGACAUAGAGACAGAAAGGCGCUUACGAGCAUUGGAAGAAUCAAACUUUGAAUCAGCAAAUAUCUGAGUAGGGGCCUAAGAAUUGCACUUCCAAAUAGUGCAGGGGUAAGCCACAGAGAAAACUUAUAAGCUUCAACUGAAAUUACAGGGUCUUGUCCCAUUAAAAUGAGCAGCUUGUCCAUGAAGAGCCACAAGAUACUGAUUGGGAUGCACACAAUAAUCAGAGAUAUCACUGCACUGUAAGUAUAAGUACCUACUUUUUGCCAUUGAUUUGCACCAUAUGCUUGCCCGGACAGAGUUUCCAAACCACCAACCAACCCUGACUGUUUCACAUUUACAUAAAGAAUUUACUAAAAAUGUUCAUUGUCCUAUUAACAAUCAUGAUUCAUUUAUUAAUUCAACCCGAUUAGAACUAGAGACACAGAUAGCCUUAUAGCACCGGGCUCAUCUGAACCUAGUACUUUCGACAUAGAGUACAGAUUUAUGUGUACAAGUUGAACCCACCCACAUAGAGUUCAAAUCCUGAAUCUUUUUAGUUGCUCACCUAUUUACCACCUCUAAUAAGAUUUAACAAUCACAAUGACAAAGAGAACUUACAAGAAGAGAGAAGCCGGUAACGUUGGUUAUAGAAGUAGCAAUAGAAACACUUGACAGUGAUAUCUGGUCUAGAUGUCCAACCAUCAUCAUUGAUACAACUUGCAAUAGAUACUGCAACACAGAAACUGCCACCAUUGGUGCUGCUAUAUAACUCAACUUCUUUAGUUCUUCACAAUAAGUUUCCGUUAUAACCCAUCUUCUGUUCUCUCCAUUUUCCAGCAACUGCUCUUCCAUGGAUUCAGCCAUGUUUAAAUUUGUAAAAAAUAGCAACAAAUGUAUGCUGUGAUUUCAAUACCAACUAAUAAGUUCUUCGUAUCAGGUGUCACAUCUAUAGUCCCUUUCAUUUGUUUAAAAUUGUAAUAAUAUAAUGCUAUUAGUUAUGCCAUCAAUUAAUGCUCCAGAUACAUAAGGUUUAUUUAAUUCAGAUGAUUCAAUCACGCUUAAACAAAUCUUUUAAGAUGGUCUCCAAAUGACGAUGUUUAGUGUCGUAUCUGUGUAGCGGGCCGGCAACAUAGGAAAGAAAUUAUAAUUUAUUUCAAAUAGUAAAUCUCUGAAAUAAUAAUUCAACAGAGACAUAACAAGGAAUUCAACAAAACACAUGAGAAAUUAAGAUCAUAAAUUUGAAGCAACCUUCAUCCAUAACAAGGAUAAAUAGUUGUUUCAAAUACAUUAAUUCAUCUACUAUGUAUACGGAAAUUCAUUCAUCACUGUCCAGUUGAUAUCACAAAAGGUCACUACUCAACUUGGAGAAUUCAUCCAGUAAAGUCAUUCAUCUUUGUUCUGUAUCAAUAAAAUCACUCUUAAGCCUUUGUUUUGAUAAAAUCAGUCAACUAAAUUUAUCAUUAAGAAAAACCAUAGUCAUCCUUAAAUAACAUUGGUUGGUGAAUACUUUUAAUGAACUCAGUCUACUGCUCCUUAUAAAUAGUUUUCCGCACCUUACACCAUAGUAUAUAAAAAUUCAUUCAUCACUGCCAAUGUGUACUCAACCAACUUAUCAUUAAAUAUAAGCAAACGUGCCUCUCGAUAUCAUCUUAUUUCAUUGAAUUAGUCCCCUCUAAUUAUUCUCUUCUGAUUAUCUCUUUUCUGAUACCCUCUUCUUAGCCUCUAUUGCCUGCAACAUGCAAUGAGUGAAACAAUACAUGAGUAGAGUUAAAAGAUCAAAAAAUGAAUAGUAGUAUUAGGAGAAACAAAUAAAAGUGAACCUGUUUUUGCCAAUCAGUGAAACUUAGUAUGAGGGAAAGACUAGUUGCUUGAAUUGCAGAACCAACCAAUAGUCCAAUCCAAAGGCCCUUUGCUUUCAGAUUUACAACGAAACACAGUAGAGAAGCAACUGGGAUUCCAACUAGAUAGAAUGCUCCAAGAUUCACAUAUGCACCAAUAAUCUGCCAUCCACUUCCCCUAGCUAUUCCUG
rnacentral:lncRNA from 1 species